rnacentral:rRNA from 2 species
CGUAACAAGGUCUCCGUUGGUGAACCAGCGGAGGGAUCAUUACCGAGUUUACAACUCCCAAACCCCUGUGAACAUACCACUUGUUGCCUCGGCGGAUCAGCCCGCUCCCGGUAAAACGGGACGGCCCGCCAGAGGACCCCUAAACUCUGUUUCUAUAUGUAACUUCUGAGUAAAACCAUAAAUAAAUCAAAACUUUCAACAACGGAUCUCUUGGUUCUGGCAUCGAUGAAGAACGCAGCAAAAUGCGAUAAGUAAUGUGAAUUGCAGAAUUCAGUGAAUCAUCGAAUCUUUGAACGCACAUUGCGCCCGCCAGUAUUCUGGCGGGCAUGCCUGUUCGAGCGUCAUUUCAACCCUCAAGCACAGCUUGGUGUUGGGACUCGCGUUAAUUCGCGUUCCUCAAAUUGAUUGGCGGUCACGUCGAGCUUCCAUAGCGUAGUAGUAAAACCCUCGUUACUGGUAAUCGUCGCGGCCACGCCGUUAAACCCCAACUUCUGAAUGUUGACCUCGGAUCAGGUAGGAAUACCCGCUGAACUUAUGCAUAUCAAU